GAUGAACGCUGGCGGCGUGCUUAACACAUGCAAGUCGAACGAUGAAGCCCAGCUUGCUGGGUGGAUUAGUGGAGAACGGGUGAGUAACACGUGAGUAACCUGCCCUUAACUCUGGGAUAAGCCUGGGAAACUGGGUCUAAUACCGGAUAGGAGCGUCCACCGCAUGGUGGGUGUUGGAAAGAUUUAUCGGUUUUGGAUGGACUCGCGGCCUAUCAGCUUGUUGGUGAGGUAAUGGCUCACCAAGGCGACGACGGGUAGCCGGCCUGAGAGGGUGACCGGCCACACUGGGACUGAGACGCGGCCCAGACUCCUGCGGGGGACAGCAGUGGGGAAUAUUGCACAAUGGGCGAGAGCCUGAUGCAGCGACGCCGCGUGAGAGAAGACGGCCUUCGGUUUGUAAACCUCUUUCAGGAGAGAAGAAGCGAAAGUGACGGUACCUGCAGAAGAAGCACCGGCUAACUACGUG
rnacentral:rRNA from 1 species